rnacentral:rRNA from 1 species
CACGCCUACGGGACGCAGCAGUGGGGAAUAUUGCGCAAUGGGCGAAAGCCUGACGCAGCGACGCCGCGUGAGGGAUGAAGGUUUUCGGAUCGUAAACCUCUGUCAGAAGGGAAGAAGUUGCAUGGGGCCAAUCACCUGUGCAUUGACGAUACCUUCAAAGGAAGCUCCGGCUAACUACGUGCCAGCAGCCGCGGUAAUACGGAGGGUGCGAGCGUUAAUCGGAAUUACUGGGCGUAAAGCGCUCGUAGGCGGUAUGUCAAGUCAAGGGUGAAAUCCCCGCGCUCAACGUGGGAACUGCCUUUGAA